rnacentral:tRNA from 1 species
GCCCGGAUGGUGAAAUUGGUAGACACAUCGGACUUAAAAUCCGCCGCGACCGAAAGGCGCAUACGGGUUCAAAUCCCGUUCCGGGCACCA